rnacentral:antisense_RNA from 1 species
AGUUCUAAAUCUUUGAGAUACUGCAGACUCUUCCACUUUUGUGAUGAAAUUUUUUUGGUAUGCUAAUAAUCCUGUAUGAGCAAUCAUUGCUCCGUUAUCAAUGCAAUAACUAUCAUCCAUGCUACAUACAAUAGCUCCUCUAUCCUUUGCCAUUUGUUCCAUCAUUUCAAUCAACCUUAAAUUGCAUCCAACACCUCCGACUAGUAAGAUUGAAUCUGAGUUUAAUAGACUGAUUGCUCUUUCUGUAACUUCAAUUAACAUUGCAAAAAGGGUCUCUUGCAAAGAAAAGCAGAAAUCUUGAUAAAAAGAUUGUAAUUUUUGUUCAUCAUUAUUAAAUUCUUUUUGUUUCUCUGCUAUUAGUUCUUCUCCAAAAGUUAGAAUUCCGGAAAAUGAUAAAUCCAUGCCUUUAACAACAUAAGGAAGUGAAAUUAAAUUCUUUCCUUUUUUUGCCAUUUGUUCAAUAUGGUAUCCUGCUGCAGGAUAAUUGUCAAGUUUCAUAACUCUAGCAAAUCUAUCAAUGCAGUUCCCGAUUGCAAUAUCCAAAGUUUCACCUAAAAUUUUGUAUCUUUUGUUGGCAUAACCUAUUAUUUGAGUGUUUCCUCCUGACGCAUAUAGUACUAUAGGAUUUUCAACUUUAGUUACGAGUCUUCCCAUUUCUAUGUGAGCAACGCAAUGAUUUACUCCGAUUAAAGGUUUUGACCAAAGCAUGCUCAACAUUCUUGCAACUAGAGCUCCAACCGCUAAAGGUGCACCCAUUCCUGGUCCUUGUGUAAAUGAAAUAAUUGUUAUUGAAUUCUUAUUUAUUCCGGAUUUUUCUAAAGCCUGUUUAACCAAAUGCAAUAUAUUAUUUCUAUGAAAUUCUGCAGUUUCUCUGGGUAAAAAUCCAGAGCCCUAAAAUUGAUUAAAGUAAUUAAAGUUAAAGAUAAGGAUUAUUCAAUAUUAUUUUCAUUCAAACUUACAGGUGGUCCCACAAAUGUCAUUUUUUCAUUUGCCAAGAUUUCUCCUUUAGAUGUUACUAUUCCGACUCCUACCUUGUUUGCGCUUGACUCAAUCCCAAGGGAAAUUAGAACUUCAUUAUUAGAUCCCUCCAUGAAUUUGAUAUUUCAAUUUUGAGAAAUCUUUUCAAAUCUUUAAUCUUUAUUUAAUUCAAAACAUAAAAAUAGCAUUAACUUUUAAUUAAGCUUUUUUAGCGGUAAUAUUUUAUAUAUGGUUAAUGUCAUUUUUACUUUUAUUUGACAAGAUUUUUCAUAUCAUUAAAUUGAUGUUAUUAUUUUAAUUUUUACGGAGAAAAAAAUGUUUUUGUAAUUUUGGAUUUUACC